CUACGGGGGGCUGCAGUAAGGAAUAUUGGUCAAUGGACGCAAGUCUGAACCAGCCAUGCCGCGUGAAGGAUUAAGGUCCUCUGGAUUGUAAACUUCUUUUAUUUGGGACGAAAAAGGGUCUUUCUAGACCAACUGACGGUACCAGAUGAAUAAGCACCGGCUAACUCCGUGCCAGCAGCCGCGGUAAUACGGAGGGUGCAAGCGUUAUCCGGAUUCACUGGGUUUAAAGGGUGCGUAGGCGGGUAGGUAAGUCAGUGGUGAAAUCCUAGAGCUUAACUCUAGAACUGCCAUUGAUACUAUCUAUCUUGAAUAUUGUGGAGGUAAGCGGAAUAUGUCAUGUAGCGGUGAAAUGCUUAGAUAUGACAUAGAACACCUAUUGCGAAGGCAGCUUACUACGCAUAUAUUGACGCUGAGGCACGAAAGCGUGGGGAUCAAACAGGAUUAGAUACCCUAGUAGUC
rnacentral:rRNA from 1 species